UACGUAGGGUCCGAGCGUUGUCCGGAGUUACUGGGCGUAAAGAGCGCGCAGGCGGCUGGUCAAGUCCGAUGUGAAAUCUCCCGGCUCAACUGGGAAACUGCAUCGGAAACUGAUCGGCUUGAAGAUGGGAGAGGGUAGUGGAAUUCCCGGUGUAGUGGUGAAAUGCGUAGAUAUCGGGAGGAACACCAGUGGCGAAGGCGACUACCUGGCCCAUUCUUGACGCUGAGGCGCGAAAGCUAGGGGAGCGAACGGA
rnacentral:rRNA from 1 species